ACUCUUUCUUCUUCCCUGAGCUUCAGCUUUUUCUUCUUCCUCUCCCCCAAAACCCUAGCACCUGAAACCCCCAACCACCUUCUUCCAUGGCUGCGCCGCCACCACGUCCUCCCUCUCCAUGAAAUCGCGCGACCACCAGUCGUCACCUUAACCCCAAAUCGCGCGCUUUUUCCAGAUCUCUUGCUCACGCUUCUACUCGCAUAGCUCUUGCGCGCUUUUUCCAGAUCUCCACAAACUGUUUUUGUUUCGGAUGUAUCAAUGGCGUCAUUUGAAAUCUGAAGUGCUAAAGUGACCAGAGGAGGAACGGAGGUUUCAGUUCGUCACCGGUUAGAUCGGCGAUGGCAGAGGUUUCUGGAGACGGCGGAGGAGUGCCAAUAGCCUCGAGAAUGAAGUUCGAGAGAGUUUGUAUGAAGAUGAGGAGUUUGAUCAGCAUCAAAGGAAACUUGCUGCACUUCUCUAAUCAAAGGAAAAGUUUGAGCAAAGAAAGAAUGAGAUAUCUUCUCAAAGUUCAAGUGUUUUGGGAGAUGAAAAUGAUAGUCUAGCCUCCAUAGGUUAUUAAUGGAAAGAGAAAGCAGAGUCUGGAAGUAUUAAUUUAUCAUUUGUCAGGUCUCCUCUCUAUUCCGCUCAACAUUUCAACUUUAGUGAUAAACCAUUGUUGUUCAGUGCUUCCAGAAGUUGCCUUCAAAUUGUAGCAAAUACACUUACUCAUGUGAUGGUCACACGUUUAACUUCCUCGUAGACAAUGGACUUGCAAAUAAACUGUUGGGCAUGCUAUCAGAAUUGGAUUUAUGGGUUGAUUCAUUUGAAAAGAAGAAGAUUCAUGUAGGAAGAUUUAAGGAGUCAGAUUCAUGUAGAUAUUUAAUUUUUAUGACAUUUGAUGUACCCCAUUUUGGAUUUAUGGGUUGAUUCAUUUAACAUGAUGUACCCAUUGAUAUGUACCCCAUAUUUCAACACUUCUUUGUUUUUGUUUCAAUUUAAAAAGUUCUCUAUUUAAUA